rnacentral:rRNA from 2 species
AAAACUUUCAACAACGGAUCUCUUGGUUCUCGCAUCGAUGAAGAACGCAGCGAAUUGCGAUACGUAAUAUGACUUGCAGACGUGAAUCAUUGAAUUUUUGAACGCACAUUGC